rnacentral:rRNA from 1 species
GAUGAGCGCUGGCGGCGUGCCUAAUACAUGCAAGUCGAGCGAACGGACGAGAAGCUUGCUUCUCUGAUGUUAGCGGCGGACGGGUGAGUAACACGUGGAUAACCUACCUAUAAGACUGGGAUAACUUCGGGAAACCGGAGCUAAUACCGGAUGAUAUUUUGAACCGCAUGGUUCAAAAGUGAAAGACGGUCUUGCUGUCACUUAUAGAUGGAUCCGCGCUGCAUUAGCUAGUUGGUAAGGUAACGGCUUACCAAGGCAACGAUGCAUAGCCGACCUGAGAGGGUGAUAGGCCACACUGGAACGGAGACACGGUCCAGACACCUACGGGAGGCAGCAGUAGGGAAUCUUCCGCAAUGGGCGAAAGCCUGACGGAGCAACGCCGCGUGAGUGAUGAAGGUUUUCGGAUCGUAAAACUCUGUUAUUAGGGAAGAACAUAUGUGUAAGGAACUGUGCACAUCUUGACGGUACCUAAUCAGAAAGCCACGGCUAACUACGUG